rnacentral:rRNA from 1 species
GACGAACGCUGGCGGCGUGCUUAACACAUGCAAGUCGAACGAUGAUGCCAGCUUGCUGGUGGAUUAGUGGCGAACGGGUGAGUAACACGUGAGCAACCUGCCCCUGACUUCGGGAUAACCGCGGGAAACCGUGGCUAAUACCGGAUAUGACGCGCUAUCGCAUGGUGGUGUGUGGAAAGAUUUAUCGGUUGGGGAUGGGCUCGCGGCCUAUCAGCUUGUUGGUGGGGUGAUGGCCUACCAAGGCGACGACGGGUAGCCGGCCUGAGAGGGUGACCGGCCACACUGGGACUGAGACACGGCCCAGACUCCUACGGGAGGCAGCAGUGGGGGAUAUUGCACAAUGGGCGCAAGCCUGAUGCAGCGACGCCGCGUGAGGGAUGACGGCCGUCGGGUUGUAAACCUCUUUCAGUAGGGAAGAAGGCCUUCGGGUUGACGGUACCUGCAGAAGAAGCGCCGGCUAACUACGUG